GGUUAAGUGACUAAGCGUACAGGGCGGAUGCCUUGGCAAUCAGAGGCGAUGAAGGACGUGCUAAUCUGCGAAAAGCUUGGAUGAGUCGAUAAGAGGCGUUUAAUCCAAGAUAUCCGAAUGGGGAAACCCAGUAGAUGAAGAAUCUACUAUCAAUAAAUGAAUACAUAGUUUAUUGAGGCGAACCGGGAGAACUGAAACAUCUAAGUACCCCGAGGAAAAGAAAUCAACCGAGAUUCUGUGAGUAGCGGCGAGCGAAAGCGGAAGAGCCAGUAAGUUUUAGCUAGCAUAUUAGAGGAAUUGGCUGGGAAGCCAAAUCAAAGAGGGUGAUAAUCCCGUACUCGAAAGUAUGUUAGUGGAACUAAGCUUACGAUAAGUAAGGCGGGACACGAGAAAUCCUGUUUGAAGAUGGGGGGACCAUCCUCCAAGGCUAAAUACUCCUGAUUGACCGAUAGUGAACCAGUACUGUGAAGGAAAGGCGAAAAGAACCCCGGUGAGGGGAGUGAAAUAGAACCUGAAACCCUGUACGUACAAGCAGUAGGAGCGAGGGCAACCUUGUGACUGCGUACCUUUUGUAUAAUGGGUCAGCGACUUAUAUUUUGUAGCGAGGUUAACUGAAUAAGGGAGCCGAAGGGAAACCGAGUCUUAACUGGGCGUUGAGUUGCAAGGUAUAGACCCGAAACCCGGUGAUCUAGCCAUGGGCAGGUUGAAGGUUGGGUAACACUAACUGGAGGACCGAACCGACUAAUGUUGAAAAAUUAGCGGAUGACUUGUGGCUGGGGGUGAAAGGCCAAUCAAACCGGGAGAUAGCUGGUUCUCCCCGAAAUCUAUUUAGGUAGAGCCUUGAGCGGACACCUUCGGGGGUAGAGCACUGUUUCGGCUAGGGGUCCAUCCCGGAUUACCAACCCGAUGCAAACUGCGAAUACCGAAGAGUGAUACUCAGGAGACACACGGCGGGUGCUAACGUUCGUCGUGGAGAGGGAAACAACCCAGACCGCCAGCUAAGGUCCCAAAGUCUAUAUUAAGUGGGAAACGAAGUGGGAAGGCUUAGACAGCUAGGAUGUUGGCUUAGAAGCAGCCAUCAUUUAAAGAAAGCGUAAUAGCUCACUAGUCGAGUCGGCCUGCGCGGAAGAUGUAACGGGGCUCAAAUAUAGCACCGAAGCUGCGGCAUCAGAAUUUAUUCUGUUGGGUAGGGGAGCGUUGUGUAAGCGGAUGAAGGUGGCUCGAGAGGGUUGCUGGACGUAUCACAAGUGCGAAUGCUGACAUAAGUAACGAUAAAACGAGUGAAAAACUCGUUCGCCGGAAGACCAAGGGUUCCUGUCCAACGUUAAUCGGGGCAGGGUGAGUCGGCCCCUAAGGCGAGGCUGAAAAGCGUAGUCGAUGGGAAACGGGUUAAUAUUCCCGUACUUGGAUAAACUGCGAUGUGGGGACGGAGAAGGUUAGGUUAGCAGACUGUUGGAUGUCUGUUUAAGGUGGUAGGUGGAAGACUUAGGCAAAUCCGGGUCUUUAUAAACACUGAGAGCUGAUGACGAGGUCUUAAGGGACUGAAGUAACUGAUACCCUGCUUCCAGGAAAAGCCACUAAGCUUCAGGUUUAUCUAAACCGUACUGAAAACCGACACAGGUGGUCAGGUAGAGAAUACUCAGGCGCUUGAGAGAACUCGGGUGAAGGAACUAGGCAAAAUAGCACCGUAACU
rnacentral:rRNA from 1 species